AGCGAACGCUGGCGGUAUGCUUAACACAUGCAAGUCGAGCGCGAAAGUGACUUCGGUCAUGAGUAGAGCGGCGGACGGGUGAGUAACACGUGGAUAAUCUGCCUUUAGGACUGGGAUAACCCUGGGAAACUAGGGCUAAUACCGGAUAAGACCACAGGUUCCAUGGAACCAGGGGUAAAGGCGGCCUUCGGCUGUCGCCGAAAGAUGAGUCCGCGUCCCAUCAGGUAGUUGGUGAGGAACGGCUCACCAAGCCGAAGACGGGUAGCCGACCUUAGCGGGUGAUCGGCCACACGGGGAC
rnacentral:rRNA from 1 species